CGGAUGUGUAAGUCAGUGGUGAAAUCUCACAGCUUAACUGUGAAACUGCCAUUGAUACUGCAUGUCUUGAGUGUUGUUGAAGUAGCUGGAAUAAGUAGUGUAGCGGUGAAAUGCAUAGAUAUUACUUAGAACACCAAUUGCGAAGGCAGGUUACUAAGCAACAACUGACGCUGAUGGACGAAAGCGUGGGGAGCGAACAGGAUUAGAUACCCUGGUAGUCCACGCCGUAAACGAUGCUAACUCGUUUUUGGAUUUUCGGAUUCAGAGACUAAGCGAAAGUGAUAAGUUAGCCACCUGGGGAGUACGUUCGCAAGAAUGAAACUCAAAGGAAUUGACGGGGGCCCGCACAAGCGGUGGAUUAUGUGGUUUAAUUCGAUGAUACGCGAGGAACCUUACCAAGGCUUAAAUGGGAAAUGACAGGUUUAGAAAUAGACUUUUCUUCGGACAUUUUUCAAGGUGCUGCAUGGUUGUCGUCAGCUCGUGCCGUGAGGUGUUAGGUUAAGUCCUGCAACGAGCGCAACCCCUGUCACUAGUUGCCAUCAUUAAGUUGGGGACUCUAGUGAGACUGCCUACGCAAGUAGAGAGGAAGGUGGGGAUGACGUCAAAUCAUCACGGCCCUUACGCCUUGGGCCACACACGUAAUACAAUGGCCAGUACAGAGGGCAGCUACACAGCGAUGUGAUGCAAAUCUCGAA
rnacentral:rRNA from 1 species